rnacentral:rRNA from 1 species
CCUACGGGAGGCAGCAGUGGGGAAUAUUGGACAAUGGGCGCAAGCCUGAUCCAGCCAUACCGCGUGGGUGAAGAAGGCCUUCGGGUUGUAAAGCCCUUUUGUUGGGAAAGAAAUCCAGCCGGCUAAUACCUGGUUGGGAUGACGGUACCCAAAGAAUAAGCACCGGCUAACUUCGUGCCAGCAGCCGCGGUAAUACGAAGGGUGCAAGCGUUACUCGGAAUUACUGGGCGUAAAGCGUGCGUAGGUGGUCGUUUAAGUCCGUUGUGAAAGCCCUGGGCUCAACCUGGGAACUGCAGUGGAUACUGGGCGACUAGAGUGUGGUAGAGGGUAGCGGAAUUCCUGGUGUAGCAGUGAAAUGCGUAGAGAUCAGGAGGAACAUCCAUGGCGAAGGCAGCUACCUGGACCAACACUGACACUGAGGCACGAAAGCNUGGGGAGCAAACAGGAUUAGAUACCCUGGUAGUCCACGCCCUAAACGAUGCGAACUGNAUGUUGGNUGCAANUUGCCACGCAGUAUCGAAGCUCACGCGUUAAGUUCGCCGCCUGGGGAGUACCGUCGCAAGACUGAAACUCAAAGGAAUUGACGG